rnacentral:rRNA from 1 species
UCUUGGUCAUUUAGAGGAAGUAAAAGUCGUAACAAGGUUUCCGUAGGUGAACCUGCGGAAGGAUCAUUAUAGAGAGCUACGGCUCCCUGUAUGCUAUUACUACAAUGAUAUUCAAUUCCAUGUUGCUUCCAUCACCUUGACGGUGGUGGGGGGUUUUUUCAUACAAUACUUUUUGCUUAGGCUUUUAAUGUGUCUGAAUAUGAGGGAAAAUGUUACAAAACUUUCAACAACGGAUCUCUUGGCUCCUGCAUCGAUGAAGAACGCAGCGAAAUGCGAUAAUUAAUGUGAAUUGCAGAAUUCCGUGAAUCAUCGAGUCUUUGAACGCACAUUGCGCCUCAUGGUAUUCUGUGAGGCAUGCCCAUCUCAGCGUUAGUAAAUAUUAUCAAAUUUUGGCCUUGUGUCGAAGUUUGGAUUAUGUCAAGGAAGCUAUUACUAUCAAAGUGGAUAGCUCUUUGGAAAUUAAUAGGUCUAGGGGGCUUCUUGAAACGUGAUGAAAAUUACUUCGUUCCCAUGUAGUUUACUUGUAUAGUCCUGAAACUUAUAUAUCUUUAUGGUAUUUUUUGAAUUUGACCUGAGAUUGGGUAGGGAUACCCGCUGAACUUAAGCAUAU